rnacentral:rRNA from 1 species
UACGUAGGGGGCAAGCGUUGUCUGGAUUUAUUGGGCGUAAAGCGCUCGCAGGCGGUCCGAUGCGUCGUGCGUGAAAGACCCCGGCUCAACUGGGGAGGGUCGUGCGAUACGGUCGGACUCGAGGCCAGUAGGGGGACGCGGAAUUCCGGGUGUAGUGGUGGAAUGCGUAGAGAUCCGGAGGAACACCAGCGGCGAAGGCGGCGUCCUGGACUGGUACUGACGCUGAAGCGCGAAAGCGUGGGGAGCAAACGGGG